UGUUGAGCAUAAGUAGCUUCCAAGACUUCAGGGAGAAUUAAAUAAGCCCAGAUUGGGUAAGGAGCACACCAGAUCUCAGGAGAACAAACUGCAUUUUAGGAAUUAGUUAUUUAUUUAAGACUGUAAAGAUUUGGGUAUACCCAAAGGAUCUAAUUUCCCAGAUCGUUUUUGCUAUAUUGUGCAGAUAGUGUUGUUUUCAGCAACCUGCAGGAAGGGCAUGAAGUGUGGAUAGCAGGUUGAAGACUUCAGCCAGGGAAGCAAACAAGAGGAGGAGUAAAAACUAGGAAGAUAUGAAAGGACCUGGUACAAAUGGAGUAGAGGAUGAACAUGGCAGCCAGAAAAGCAAUGGAAGAUGCAAACAGCGGAUCAAUGAGUUAGCAAGUGAUAACUAAUUAGUGAGAAAAUCUGGAGGGCAAUGAAAUUAAAUAAUUAAUUAUGCAAUGGAGCAAACAAACAGCAAAUCAAUUAAAUGUACGGGGAUCUACCAGAUACUCUGAUUAGUUUGGACAGAACAUGGUUAGUGAAACUAUUUAUUCUUUGGUAUUUCAGUUAUUCAUGGUAUCUCUGCCCAUGGAGAUUACUGCCUGUUUAAAUGCAAGAUCUGACCGUGUGCCUUUAAAAAGCAUUUAUCUUGAUAGUGCAAGUGAGAGGGGCAGAAACACUGACGGAAAAGCAGUAGGGGUCACAACUGCUCUGAAUGAGAUUCCUUAAGAGAAGGUGCUAUAAAAAGAUAAUGUGUACAGUGUUGCUUCCUCUCUUCCCUCUCUUCCCUCUCUUCCCUCUCUUCCCAUUUUUUGAAUGCUUGGUUGGAGUUAUUACAGCUGAGAAUGGAAGUCAGCAGUGUUAGGCUCUUGCUGCAGGAGACAACGGAGGAUAUGCUGUGUCAGAAGCAAGUUGCAGGGAGAAGCCAGCAUGGGUCAUAUGUAAAGUACGACAGUUGGAAAUUCUGUGGCCAUCAGAUUUUAUGGCCCCAGCCUCUGCUCUCUGGAGCCUGUCCCCACCUCACAUCCUCUCCUGGCUCACAGCAGGGGAGAGCCAGGCAGGUCCAAGAGCAUGCACCUCCUGCCUGCAUGUCCCUCGCCCCUUGGCUCCCUUAGGGGAGAGAAGGUAUGACAGCUGCAUUAGGUAUGCCAACUAUGUGGUCCUGUGAGCAGGCUGACAGCCGCCGCCUUCUCCUCAGAGGCAUCUCUUAAAGACCGUGGCAAAGAAGGUUGACCAGAGCACCAGUCCUUUCCAUCCCUCUCUCCUGUGCCUGGCUGGGGAAAACUGCAUUGCUGCUCAGCAGGAGCAGCACAACCAGGAAAUGCUGGAAAAGAAGUGUUUCGUGGUUUUGUUUUUUUUUACUUUAAGUCUGAAAUGCACCACUGCAAUACUAUUAACAUCUCUGAAAAAUGUCAGUAUGAAAAUUUAGCAUGGCGUUACUAAGAGUACUACUGAGAAAAGUGUUAGCCAUUGGGCUGUUCUGUUAGUGAAAGCCAUAUGAUUCACUUUGUUCUUAAGCUGAUAUUGUUGCAGUUACAACAGACAAUUUGCAAAUGCCUUGCUGUUUUAUAAAAGCCAAUGUACCCGGAUUCACAGCAGGUACUAAUAUUGUGUGCAUCUGCUGAGCUGUGCAUGGCAUCAACCUGUUUUUAAUUAUACCUGAAUGUCAAGCUCAAAAUGUGUCUGCGAACAGGAAAGAUGAAAAGUAGGCAGAACAGGAUGUUAUGUAUUUCCCAUCACCUUCGACUGUCUGGCCGCCCACAGAAGCAUGAAGAAAUUCCCCUCUUCCACAGUGAAAAUGUAAAGAUUUACUGAGCUUAGCACUGCCAACAAUAAGGUGUAAUCACCACUUCCAUGAGGAAGCACGCACAUAUUAACAGGGGUGAGCAGGGAGCUCUGGUUGUCUUUCUGCACCUUCUUCUUCACUGAUCUGCAAGAGGCCACGAGUUAACCACAGCUUUGUUAUAUUUUAUUUGCAUUGAAAUGUGUGAGCUGGUUGACUCACUAUCCCAACUUCCCUGUAAAAUAAAAUAUGUGGGAGUGAACA
rnacentral:lncRNA from 1 species